UACGUAGGGUGCAAGCGUUGUCCGGAUUUAUUGGGCGUAAAGAGCUCGUAGGCGGUCUGUCGCGUCGGAUGUGAAAACCCAGGGCUCAACCCUGGGCCUGCAUUCGAUACGGGCAGACUAGAGUACGGCAGGGGAGACUGGAAUUCCUGGUGUAGCGGUGAAAUGCGCAGAUAUCAGGAGGAACACCGGUGGCGACGGCGGUUCUCUGGGCCUUACCUGACACUGAGGAGCGAAAGCGUGGGGAGCGAACAGG
rnacentral:rRNA from 1 species